GAGUUUAUAUGUUAUAAAAUAUAAAUAUUCCGUUCCGGUUAAAUAUUGAUUUAAAUAAAUAUAUUAGUAAACUCACGCGAACGAGCACCACCGUAUUAUACAUACGGACGACGGGUUGAUUCCGACGAACCAUCGAAGAAUACAGUUUUUAUUAUUUAUCCGUAUUGUUAUUCUUUUUAUUUUCGUCGUAGAAUCGUGAACACGUAUAAGCCCUUCGUCCGUCUUCUCCCUGCGUCCGUCAUUAACGAAAUCAAAUAUUAUGGUUGAAGAGGGAAUUGGGGUCACAACGAGAUCUAGUAAACUUCUAUUAUAAUACGAUAAUAAUAUAGUCGGUCCUUUUUAUGGCC